UUUUGUACCUUUUGUAUCAGGGUUGAUUAAAAUUUAUUUAAUAAUUUUAAAUAUCUCGAAAAUAAGGGAGCUAAAUUUAUAUUAUUUUUUUUGUAGCAAUAAAAUUAUAAAUAUAGAUUUAGAAAUUAAAUGUUAAACGAACUUAUUAAUAUCUAGUUUUUUUAGAAAUAAAUUUAAUUUAGAUAUAAUUAUUUUAGUAAAUUAAAUUUUAUUUUAAUUUAUUAAUUUUUAUAUUAAAAAUUUAUGGGAUAAUCUAUGAAUUUAAAAUAAAAAUUUAAUUUUAAUUUUUAAUGUUAUAGAGAUAAUAUUUUUCUUUAAUUUUAAUAAUUUAAUAAUUUAAUAUUUAUAAAUUAUAAUAAUGAUUUAAAUUUAUAUUUUAUUUUUCUAUAAAAAUUUAUAUUUUAAUUAAUAAAAUAUAGAAAUAAUGAUUAAAUUAGUAAUAAAGUUAUAUUUUAUAAUGAUAUUUUGUAUUAUAUAAUUUAAAGGAACUCGGCAAAUAUAUUAUUCACCUGUUUAUCAAAAACAUGUCCUGUUGAUUAUAAUUUUAGGUCGAUCUGCUCAAUGAAUUAUUUUAAAUAGCUGCAGUAUGUUGACUGUACAAAGGUAGCAUAAUAAAUUGUCUUUUAAUUGAAGAAUUGUAUGAAAGAAUUAAUGAAAUAAUAACUGUCUCUAAAUUAUUGAAUGAAUUUAAAUUUUUAGUUAAAAUUCUAAAAUUUAAUUAUGGGACGAUAAGACCCUAUAG
rnacentral:rRNA from 1 species